rnacentral:rRNA from 1 species
CCUACGGGAGGCAGCAGUCGGGAAUAUUGCGCAAUGGAGGAAACUCUGACGCAGCGACGCCGCGUGCAGGAAGAAGGUCUUCGGAUUGUAAACUGCUUUAGACAGGGAAGAAAAAAGACAGUACCUGUAGAAUAAGCUCCGGCUAACUACGGGCCAGCAGCCGCGGUAAUACGGAGGGGGCAAGCGUUAUCCGGAUUUAUUGGGUGUAAAGGGUGCGUAGGCGGAGAAGCAAGUUAGUUGUGAAAUCCUUCGGCUUAACUGAGGAACUGCAGCUAAAACUGCUUGCCUUGAGUGCGGGAGAGGGAAGUGGAAUUCCUGGUGUAGCGGUGAAAUGCGUAGAUAUUAGGAGGAACACCGGUGGCGAAGGCGACUUUCUGGACAGUAACUGACGUUGAGGCACGAAAGUGUGGGGAGCAAACAGGAUUAGAUACCCCUGUAGUC